GCCGGCCUAGCUCAAUUGGUAGAAGCAACUGACUUGUAAUCAGUAGGUUGGGGGUUCAAGUCCUCUGGCCGGCACCA
rnacentral:tRNA from 1 species